AGAGUUGCUAAGAACAGCAAUGGCAUCAGUGACUGUUUGCAGCACCACCAAAGGCUUGUUCCUCAUCUUCACCCUGCUGUCUCUGGUUUGCCUUUCAAGUGCACUGAUAGACAAGGACCAGCUGAAACAACUCAAAGAAAACUAUCAGAACAUAAAACAACAAAUGGACAGACUGAAGGCUAAGCGUGUGGAA